UUUGAGAGAGGAGACUAUCGAAAUUACUCUGGAAGAGAAGGUUUAACUGCACAAUUGAGGUGAUAUCUAAAGAUUUUAGGGGAAUUGUUAAGGAAAAGUUUCUUUUGGAAUAGCAUUUGGAGAUUUUGAUCAGGAAGAGUAGCAUAUGUUUGGGCUUCCGCUGUGAUGUGCGCAUGAGUGAAGUUUAGGAAAUCAAUGGAAUAAGUUUUGAACUUUUAUGUUUUAAGAUUACCAUUUGUGUAAUCCUUCAGACUUAAAGGAUUUAGUUUAUUUUUAUUUGAUGUUGGAAGAUUAUUACUUGGAGAUCUUUGAGAAUUUCUUUAUUGAGGAUAUUUUUAAAUUUAUUGAUGAAAUUUUCUUAAGGAUAAUUAUUUAAUUGUUUA